rnacentral:rRNA from 1 species
UACGUAGGGUGCGAGCGUUUGCCGGAAUUAUUGGGCGUAAAGAGCUCGUAGGCGGUGUGUCACGUCGGCCGUGAAAAUCUGGGGCUUAACUCUGGGCGUGCGGUCGAUACGGGCAUCACUAGAGUUCGGCAGGGGAGACUGGAAUUCCUGGUGUAGCGGUGAAAUGCGCAGAUAUCAGGAAGAACACCCGUGGCGAAGGCGGCUCUCUGGGACGGUACUGACGCUGAGACGCGAAAGCGUGGGGAGCGAACAGG